rnacentral:sRNA from 1 species
GCCAGGUAUGGUGGUGCAAGUCUGUAAUCCCAGCAACUUGGGAGGCUGAGGCAGGAGGAUCACAAGUUUGAGACCAGCCUCAG